rnacentral:rRNA from 1 species
AGUCGAGCGCACUCUUUUAGAGUGAGCGGCAAACGGGUGAGUAACGCGUGGGAAUCUACCCCUCUCUACGGAAUAACACAGAGAAAUUUGUGCUAAUACCGUAUACGUCCCUUUGGGAGAAAGAUUUAUCGGAGAUGGAUGAGCCCGCGUUGGAUUAGCUAGUUGGUGAGGUAACGGCUCACCAAGGCGACGAUCCAUAGCUGGUCUGAGAGGAUGAUCAGCCACACUGGGACUGAGACACGGCCCAGACUCCUACGGGAGGCAGCAGUGGGGAAUAUUGGACAAUGGGGGCAACCCUGAUCCAGCCAUGCCGCGUGAGUGAUGAAGGCCCU